rnacentral:misc_RNA from 1 species
AAUUAAAUUAAACGACGAAAAAUUGUGUCACGUAUAAUUAGUUUAAUGUAACGCAUUCUUAAAACAUGGCAGAAUCAAUUGGACCGAUACUUCAUGUGAUUGUCGUCGGAUUUCAUCACAAAAAAGGAUGUCAAGUAGAGUACUCGUUUCCUCCUUUGGUACCUGGAGCUCCAAACGAAUGUCCAUUAGGAUGGAAAUAUUUACCAACUCUUGCUCUGCCAGAUGGAUCCCAUAAUUAUGAUGAAGAUACAGUUUAUUUUCAUUUGCCCAGUCUGAAUAAUCCAAAAUGUACGAUAUAUGGCAUUUCAUGCUUUAGACAAAUUCCUGUUGAGAAAUUAAAAAAUCGUACAUCCGACAUAACAAGAGGUACGGUUCAAAAGUCUGUUUGUGUUUUAAGUACCUUACCAUUAUAUGGUCAUAUUCAAGUAAAAAUGGCUUUGAUAACGCAUGCAUACUUUGAAGAAGGUGACUUUAGUAAAGUGUCAUUAUUAGAAGAUACUUAUCAUCAUCUCAAUUCUUGUAUGAGUUGUGAGAGUCAAAUACCACCGCAAAUAUUUGUUGGAUUGUCUGCAAGAGAUUUCAUAUUACAAUUUCGUCACAAAGUUCUUUUAUUGUUUAAACUACUUUUGUUAGAAAAAAGAAUAGUUUUUUAUCAAUCACCUGUUCAACCAUUAUGCGCUGCAAUAUUAACAUUACUUUCAUUGUAUCCUGGUAUGAUAGAACAUGGUUUGCAACAAGCUGCUUGUGUUAGACCUAUGUCUCCUAUUCCUACAUUUGAUGAAGAAGAGAUAUCGGUAAAUACUAUCGAUAAUAAUUUAUCUUCUACAAAUUGUAUCAAAGAUGGUAUAUCUGAUAGAGUAACGGUACAUAUUAAUGGUAAUUCUGAUAGAAAUUCAUUAUGUAUAAAUGAUAAUAAAGCUAUUGAAACUAUGGAAGGUAAAUGCAUGGAUGAAUUAAAAAAUGUAACAGUACAAAAGAAUAAUAAUGAAAAUGAAAAUUUAAAUAUGAAAGUCAUUGAAGUUAAUUCAGCACAAGAAUGUACCAAUGUGGAAGAAAAUAAUCCUGUAUAUUCUUCAAAAUCGAAUGAUAAUAUGCAUAGAGUGCAAAGUAUACAUACGAUUACAUUAAGUACAACAGAUACUGAUAAUACAUUACCACGUGAUACAAGUAACGACGCACUUUCUGAUGCACGUUUAACAAAUAAUAUUACCCAAAUUGCACAUAUAAAUCCUGAAUUAUGUGGUUUACCUUUAAAUAUAUUUACAAAGGGAUAUUUAUGUUUACCAUACUUAUCUUUACCAUAUCUGGAUCUUUUGGCAGAUAUUAAUGUUAGAGGAUACAUAGUAGGUGCAACGAAUGUUUUAUUUAAACAGAAAAAACAACUUAUUGAUGUAUUAAUAGAGGUUGAAAAUACGCGAAUAGAAACAAGUGACCCAGAAUUAAGAAGACAAUUGCAUCUUACAACUGAAGAUCUAAGAUUUGCUGAUUAUAUAGUAAGGCAUGUCUCGGAGCCACGCAAAGAUAUUUUUUUGGAUGGUGUAGGAUGGGAAGGUGGAGAUGAAUGGAUUAGAACUCAAUUUCGGGUUUACUUAUUGAGCAUGUUAAGAACAUCGAUGCAACAAGAUAGUAGGCAAUCUGAUCAUUAUAAUUCUGCAUUUAUAGCUGCUUGGCGUUUAACGAAUAAUUAUAAGAUAUGGAAUAGUUCUAAUAAACCAGAAAUUAGUAAUAUAGAACCAGGUCAUCCAUUUGCUGGACAACUAUCUGUUCAAGAUAUGAAAUUACGAUUAUCGCAAAACACAUUCCUUCUAGUACAAUGCAAAACACAGAAAGUGGUAGAAAAUUGAAUCAAGCAAUGGCAUCGACUGGACGAGCGGUUGCGACAACUGGAAAAGCAGUUGGUGGUGCAUUAUCACAAGCUAAAGGAGCUUUUUCUAAUUGGUGGAGUACAUUAACAACAGUUCAACCUGUAGAGGAAGGAAAGGCCACGGACAAUCAAACUUCGACUAUACAUCAAACGCUUUCAAAUAUGGUUAACAAAACCGCUGUGGAAGAUGACGAAAUUAAUAUGACUA